rnacentral:rRNA from 1 species
GUCCGCAACGAGCGCAACCCUCGCCUCAGUUGCCAGCAUUCGGUUGGGCACUCUAGAGGGACUGCCGGCGACAAAGUCGGGAGGAAGGUGGGGGAUGACGUCAAAUCAUCAUGCCCCUUAUGACCUGGGCUACACACGUGCUACAAUGGGCGGUACAAAGGGCUGCGAACCGCGAGGGGGAGCGAAUCCCAAAAAGCCGCUCUCAGUUCGGAUUGCAGGCUGCAACUCGCCUGCAUGAAGCCGGAAUCGCUAGUAAUCGCGGAUCAGCAUGCCGCGGUGAAUACGUUCCCGGGCCUU